rnacentral:rRNA from 1 species
AUGGAGAGGGAGCUCCUGCUGGCCGCAAUGGAGGAGUGCGUCGAGGCACGGCGCUGUCUCGCCGGGAUUAGGUUCCGGCUGGCCGAGCUCUGGACCGUCGCCGACGAGCUGGAGCGAGACGCGAUGGCCGACGAGCGGCCCUUCCACGACAUCCCGCCUCGCCUCCGGGAGAUACAACUACGGACAGAGGACGUCUCCGACACGCUGCAGGAUCUCCGGCCGUCCAUCGACCGCAUCGUCGCCCUGGGCAAAGCGUGCAGGGAGGAGGAGAUAUCUCUGGCGUCGCCCAACGCCCGCACCGCCACCUGA